GAGUUUGAUCCUGGCUCAGAUUGAACGCUGGCGGCAUGCCUUACACAUGCAAGUCGAACGGCAGCACGGGAGCUUGCUCCUGGUGGCGAGUGGCGAACGGGUGAGUAAUGCAUCGGAACGUAUCCUGGAGUGGGGGAUAACGUAGCGAAAGUUACGCUAAUACCGCAUAUUCUGUGAGCAGGAAAGCGGGGGGACCUUCGGGGCCUCGCGCUCUUGGAGCGGCCGAUGUCGGAUUAGCUAGUUGGUGAGGUAAAGGCUCACCAAGGCGACGAUCCGUAGCAGGUCUGAGAGGAUGAUCUGCCACACUGGAACUGAGACACGGUCCAGACUCCUACGGGAGGCAGCAGUGGGGAAUUUUGGACAAUGGGGGCAACCCUGAUCCAGCCAUGCCGCGUGAGUGAAGAAGGCCUUCGG
rnacentral:rRNA from 1 species